CCCCCCUUCCUCCUUUCCUUCUUUCCUUCAUCCCUUCCUUCCUCCUUCCCUCCCUUCCUGCCUUCCUCCCCCCAAAAAAAAAAAAUGUACAGAAAGACAAAUGUCUUUUGCAUCUUUAAGAUUUGUCACUCCUAUAAAGGUUCCCCCGAGCCAAGUUUAGUGAUAGCUGCAUUGAGCAAGUCUUAUUCCCUUUCUGACUCAUUAUCAGUCAUAUGUGCUACUGUGACCCACCCCUUAGAAAGCUGGGCAAAGAAGAGAUAGUGUGAGCUGAGGUAGUACAUUAGUGAUUUGUUCAUUCAUUAUUUAUUUUCUUAUUUUAUUCGUUCAACAUUUAUUAUUUACUACUUGCUAGAAACUGAGAUUUGAUGAUGGGACAGACAUGGUUCCUGUCCUUAGGAAGCUAAUUUUUAAUAGAGGAGCUCUACAAGUUUAAUGCUAUGAUUCUGUUUCUUUCUUUCUUUUUGCCACUUUAAAAGGCUGUUUCUCUUGUCUUAUUAAUGCUAUAAUUCUUAACCUAUUUUAGGUCAGAGACUUCUUUGAAAAUCUCAUGCAAAAUCCUUUCCCACCAUUGAAAAUAAAUAUACACACAAUUUUACCUACAAAAACCUUUGGUGUUCCACAUGUUAAAAAUAUCAAGGCUGUGGCUGGGCAUAGUGGCUCAUGCCUAUAAUUCCAGCACUUUGAGAGGCUGAGGUAGGCAGAUCACUUGAGAUCAGAAGUUCAAGACCAGCCUGGCCAACAUGGUGAAACCCCUUCUCUACUAAACAUACAAAACAAUUAGCCAGGUGUGGUAAUGCACCACCAUAGUCCCAGAAUCUCUUGAACCCAGGAGGCAGAGGUUGCAGUGAGCUGAGAUGGUACCUGUACACUCUAGCCUGGGCAACAGAGCAGGACUCCGCCUCAAAAAAUAAAAUAAGAUGAAAUAAAACCUUACAGAUGUGGUGGCUCAUGCCUGUAAUCCCAGUACUUCAGAAGAAUGAGGCAAGAGAGUUGCCUGAGCCCGGGAGUUUGAAACCAACCUGGGUAACACAGAGAGACUUCAUUUCUUAAAAAAAAAAAAAAAAAAAAAUUGCCAAGCGCUCCCAGGAUGUCAAGGCUGCAGCAAGCCAUGAUUAUGCCACUGCACUCUAGUCAGAGCAACAGAGCAAGACCCCAUCUCUUAAAAAAAAAUUAACUUAAAAAAAUUUUUUUAAAUCAAAAGAUAGAUAAAGCUGACCUUGUAGAUGCUAGGAAAAUGUAAAGUAUAUUAGGAAGUUAAUGUUCAUUUUGAUCAGCAGACAGAGGACUUGAGGGUUUAAAAACAUUGUUCUCAAAACAGGCAAAUUUGUCAAAUGUUUACAUUAACUCCAAAUGAAAUUCUGGGCCCUGCAGUAUCAUAAAAUUAAAAGCAGAGGUUUAUAUAUAUAAGCACACCUUGGAGAUAUUGCAGGGUCAAUUCCAGGCCACUGCAAUAAAGUAGAUGUUGCAAUAAAGCAAGUCACAGAUAUUUUGGUUUUCCAGUGCAUAUAAAAGUUAUAUUUCACUAUACUGUAGUCUGUUAAGUGUGCAAUAGCAUUAUGUCUGGAAAAAAAUCAUAUACCUUAAUGUAAAAAUACUUUUUUGCUGAAAAAUGCUAACAAUUAUCUGAGCCUUCAGCAAGUUAUAAGUUUUUGGCUGGUGGAGGGUCUUGCCUUGAUGUUGAUGGUUGCUGACUGGUCAGGGUGGUGGCUACUGAAGGUGAGGGUGGCUGUGACAAUUCUUAUAAUAAGACAACCAUAAAGUUUGCCUCAUCAAUGGACUCUUCCUUUCAUGAAAGAUUUCUCUGUAGCAUGCAAUGCUGUUUGACUGCAUUUUGCCCACAGUAGAACUUCUUUCAAAAUUGAAGUCAGUCUUCUCCAACUCUGCCACUUCAUCAACUAAGUUUGUGGAAUAUUCUAAAUCUUUUUUGUCAUUUCAACAGUGUUCACAGCAUCUUCACCAGGAGUAAACUCCAUCUCAAGAAACCACUUCUGUGCUUAUCCAUAAGAAGCAAUUUCUCAUCCCUUCAAGUUUGAUUUUGAGAUUGCAGCAAUUCAGUCACAUCUUCAGGUUCAACUUCUAAUUCUAGUUUUCUUGUUAUUUCUGUCACCUCUACAGUUAUUUUCUCCACUGACAGACACCUUGAAACCGUAAGGGUUGGAAUCAACCUUUUUCAAACUCCUGUUAAUGUUGGUAUUUUGACUUCUUCCCAUGAGCCAUAAAUGUUCUUAAUGGCAUCUAGAAUAAUGAAUCCUUUCAGUUUUUCAAUUUACUUUGCCUAGAUCCAUCAGAGGAAUCACUGUUCAUGGCAGCCAUAGUCUUAUGAAAUGUACUUCUUAAAAGAAGACUUGAAAAUCAAAAUUACUCCUUGAUCCCUAGGCUACCAACUGGAUGUUGAGUUGGAGAGCAUAAAACAACAUUAAUCUUCUGUACAUCUCCAUCAGACUUCUUUGGUAACCAGAUAGGUUGUCAAUGAGCAGUAAUAUUUUGAAAGGAAUUUUUUUUUUUAGCAGCAGGUCUCAAUAAUUAACUUAAAAUAUUCUGUAAACUGGCCAGAUGCGGUGGCUUACGCCUGUAACCCCAGCAUUUUGGGAGGCCGAGGGAGGCAGAUCACCUGAGGUCAGGAGUUUGAGACCAGCCUGACCAACAUGGAGAAACCCUGUCUCUACAAAAAAUACAAAGUUAGCCCUGCAUGGUGGCGCAUGCAUAUAAUCCGAGGUACUCAAGAGGCUAAGGCAGGAGAAUCACUGGAAUGCAGGAGGCAGAGGUUGCAGUCAGCCAAGAUCGUGCUAUUGCACUCCAGCCUGGGCAACAAGAGCAAAACUUGGUCUCAAAAAAAAAAAAAAAUAUGUAAACCAUGCUGUAAACAGAUGAACUAUCAUCCAGGCUUUGUUGUUUCAUUUAUAGAGGAAAGGCAUAAUAGAUUUAACAUAAUUCCUAAAGAUCCUAGGAUUUUCAGAAUGGUAAAUGAGCACUGGCCUCAGCUUAAAGUCAGGAACUGCAUUAUUCUUUAAUCUGAGUCAGCCUAUCCUUUGAAGCUUUGAAGCCAGGUGUGACUUUACUCCAUCUGUGAAAGUCCUAGAUGGCAUCUUCUUCCAGUAGCAGGCUGUUUAAUCUACAUUAAAAAUCUGUUGUUUACUUUAGCCACCUUAAUAAGUGAUCUGAGCUAGAUCUUCUGGAUAACUUGCUGCAGCUUUUAUAUCAGCACUUGCUACUUCAUCUUGCACUGUUAUGUUAUAGAGAUAGUGAUAUAGUUUGGGUCUGUGUCCCUUUCCAGAUCUCAUAUUGAAAGGUAAUCCCUAAGGCUGGAGGUGGGGCCUGGUGGAAGGUGAUUGGACAUGGGGGUGGCUUCUCAUGAAUGGUUUAGCACCAAUCCCCUAGUGCUGUUCUUGUGAUAGAGUUCUCACGAGAUCUGGUUGUUUAAAAGUGUGUAGCACCUUCCCCCUCCUCACUCUUUUCCUCCUGCUCUGGCCAUGUGAGAUGCCUUGCUUCCCCUUUGCCUUUCACCAUGAUUGUAAGUUCCUGAGGCCUCCCCAGAAACAGAAGCCACUAUACUUCUUUUAUAGCCUGCAGAACUAUGAGCCAGUUACACCUCUUUUCUUUGUAAAUUACUCAGUCUCAGGUUUUUCUUUUUUUGAGAUGGAGUUUUGCUCUUUUUGUCCAGGCUGGAGUGCAAUGGCGUGAUCUUGGCUCACUGCAACCUCCACUUCCUGGAUUCAAGUGAUUCUCCUGCCUCAUCCUCCCAGGUAGCUAGGAUUACAGGCACACACUACCAUACCCAGCUAAUUUUGUCAUUUUAGUAGAGAUAGGGUUUCACCAUGUUGGUCAGCCUGGUCUCAAACUCCUGACCUCAGAUGAUCUUCCCACCUUGGCCUCACAAAGUGCUGAGAUUACAGGCAUAAGCCACUACACCCGUCCUCAGGUAUUUCUUUAUAGCAGUAUGAGAAUGGACUUAAUACAGAUGGCUUCUUUCCUUAAACCUCAUGAACCAACCUCUGCUCGCUUCAAACUUUUCUUGUGCAGCUUUCUUAUCUCUCUCAACCUUCAAAGAAUUGAGGAGAGUUAAGGCCUUGCUCUGGAUUAUGCUUUGAUGUAAGGGAAUGUUGUGUCUUCUGUGAUCUAUCCAGACCACUAAAACUUUCUGCAUAUCAGCACGAAGACUGUUUUAUUCUUUUAUUACUCAUAUGGUCACUGGAGUAGCACUUCAAUUUUCCUUCAAGAACUCUUCCUUUGCAUUUGCAACUUGGCUUAUUAUUUGGCUCGAGAAGCCUGGCUUUCAGCCUGUCUCAAUUUUCAAUGUGCUUUUCUCACUAAGCUUCAUCAUUUCUAGCUUUUGAUUGAAAGUUAAAGACAUGUGACUUUUCCUCUUAUUUGAACACUUACAUGCCAUUGUAGGGUCAUUAAUUGGCUAAUUUCAGUAUUGUUGUGUCUCAAGGUAUAGGGAGGCCCAAAGAGAAGAAUUGAAUUGGGGGGAACAACUGGUCAAUGGAGCUGUGAGGACACAUAAAACAUUUAUUGAUUAAGUUUGCCAUCUUCUAUGGGCAUAUUAUGGUGCCCCAAAACAAUUACAGUAGUAACAUUAAGGAUUACAGAUCACUGUAAGAGAAAUAAUAAUAGUGGAAAACUUUGAAAUAUUGCAAGAUAUAGCAAAAUGUGACAUGACAUGAACUGUGCAUGUGCUAUUGAAAAAAUGGUACUGACAGACUUGCUUGAUGCUGGGUUGCCACAAACCUUCAAUUUAUUUAAAACAAAAACAAAAAAACUUAGUAUCUGUGAGUCACAAGAAAGUGAAGCACAAUAAAAUGAGAUAUGCUUGCACUUAUAUGUACACAUAUAGGUAUACAUACAGGUUAAAUAAAAACUAUGGCAUUUUCUCUGGAAGUUUAACAUUCAUUUGACGUACCUUGGCUCACUGGUGUUGGGUAUGUUACUGAAUUUCUUGUAAGGACACCUUCCUUCUUGAGAGAAUGCUGGUUUGAAAAAUAAAUAUGAGAGCUCUUGGUCCAAAUUCCUAUUAUAGGUUAAAAAUCAAAUUGUUUUACAGAAAAUUUUUAAUCAAACCAUGCUGCUAAAAUAUGGGGCAAAACAAUUCAUAAUGCUGGAUUCCCAAUAAUUUAUUCAUUCAACAUCAGCAAAUAUUUAUUGAGUGUCUACUGCUUGCUGGACACUGUUCUAGGCCCUUUUGUUCAUCAGUGAACGAAAGAGACAAAAUUCAUGUCCUCAUAAACUCUAGCAGUGAUCCAGGGGUGGGGAAUAAGCAAUGAACAAUAAACAUAAAAAAAUGAGUAAAUGACAUAAUAUGUGGUAUAUAAAAAAGUGAUAAAUGCUAUAGAAGAAAACAUAGAGUGGGGUAAGUAGUAUGGGGACUGCUGAAGCUGGGGGAAUGGUUGUAAUAUCAAGUAUACGUAUCACAUAUAGUAGUCAGUGUGGGCUUUGUUGAGAAGGUGAAAUUGAACACUUGAAAGUAAAAGAAUCAUUUCUAGCAGAAGAAUUAUAGCCAAGGGCGUAAAUAAAAUUAUAACUGUAAUGUGUGACAAACAGCAAGGAGGCUAGUGUGUUUGGGGUAGAGUAGGAUGACAGAGACAGUAAUAUGAAAUGAGAUCAGAAAGUUAUAGGGACAUCUUCAGGACUCUGGCUUUUACUGUUAAGUGAAAUAGGGAGCCAUUGCAGGGUUUUAGCAAUCUACAUCUGGGCGUUGUGUGAUCAUUGGAAUGUUAAGAGGAGCGACUGAAAGUGGCUUACUUUUUUUUUUUUUUUUUUGAGAUGGAGUCUCCCUCUGUAGCCCAGGCAGGAGUGCAGUGGCAUGAUCUUGGCUCACUGCAACCUCCACCUCCCUGGUCCCGGUUCAAGAGAUUCUCCUACCUCAGCCUCCCAAGUAGCUGGGAUUAUAGGCACAAGCCACUAUGACCAGCUAAUUUUUGUAUUUUUUAGUUGAGACGGGAUUUCACCAUGUUGACCAGUCUGGUUUUGAACUCCUGACCUUGUGAUCUGCCUGCCUUGGCCUCCCAAAGGGAUUACAGGCAUGAGCCACCGUGCCCGGCCUGUGACUUAAAUUUUUAAAGGCACUACCCUGACUGCUGUGUUGAUAAUGGACUGAAUAAGGGACAAGGGUAGAGGCAGGGAGACUAGCUGAGAGCAAUCUGGGCCAAAGACAAUGGUGGUGGCUUGGACCAGGGUGAUUGAUAGUGAUGGAGGUGGUGGGAUGUGGUUAGAUUCAAAUACAUUUUGAAGAUAGAAAUGAUACGAUUUUCUGACUGAUUAAAUAGAUGUGUAGUAUGAAAGAGAGAGUAAAGACUCCAGGAUGAUUUCAGGGUUUUCGAUCUGAGCAAAUAUAAGGAUGGAGUUGCCAUCAACUGAAAUGGGAAAGGCUGUGGUUGGACCCAUUUGGAACAAAAGAUUAAGAGUUCAUUCUUCUGCUGUGGUAUGACUUGGAAAUUCUGAAACUACUUUUCAUGUAUCCUGGGACUGAGCACGUAAGUAAAGUGAGAAUACCAGGAGCUAGAUCUCUCAUUGUUAGAAAAGGGAGUUACAGGUUGGGCAUACUGGCUCAUGCCUGUAAUCCCAGCUCUUUGGGAGGACAAAGUUAGUGGAUCACCUGAGGUCAGGAGUUCAAGACCAGCCUGACCAACAUGGUGAAACCCUGUCUCUACUGAAAAUACAAAAAUUAGCUGGGCAUGGUGGUGGGCACCUGUAAUCCCAGCUACUCAGGAGGUUGAGGCAGGAGAAUCUCUUGAAUCUGGGAGAGAGUGGUUGCAGUGAGCCGAGAUUGUGCCAUUGCACUCCAGCCUGGGUGACAAGAGCAAAACAACGUCUCCAAAAAAAAGAAAAGAAAAAGGAGUUACAAGUAUGGAAAGCAGGGAGACUAAAAUGAAGCCUUUGAUACUGGAUUAGAAUUAGAGAUAUUAGUGUAAACUCAUGGUUUUUAAUAUUGAGAUAACAGAAAUUGAUAUAAAUAUACACUCAAAAAUACUUGCUUAACUCCAUUACUGAGAACGCCUGCAAGGAAUAACCCUCCAGUAACAAUGAACACAAAACACCCAGAUGUAGGUUUUUAAAUGCCACUCUCCACUAAAAAAAUCAGGUGCUUUUGAGAACUGGCUGAUUCUGGGGCAGGGUAGAUAAAGGGUGAGAUGCGCCAGGGACAUCUUACUGUGCCAGAAACUUUGAAAGUGCUCAAGUGAUGAUGACAUGUAAAAAGGACAGGAGACAAACUGAAGGGGCUCCCUUUGGCCAAACCUAGGAAUCUUUUAGCAUCAAAAUAAGGAAUGAGCUGGGUGCAGUACCUGGCCAGGCACAGUGGCUCAAACUUGUAAUACCAGCACUUUGGGAGGCUGAGGCAGGUGGAUCACUUGAGGCCAUGAGUUUGAGAACAGCCUGGCCAACAUGGUGAAACCCCUUCUCUACUAAAAUUAUAACAAUUAUCCAGGCACUAAUUAGCCAGCUACUCAGGAGGCUGAGGUAGGAGGAUUGCUUGAGCUCAGGGGUUCAAGACCAGCCUGGACAACAUUUUGAAACCCCAUCUUUACACAAAAAUUACCAGGGCGUGGUGGUGUGGGCCUGUAGUCCCAGCUCUUGAGGGGCUGAGGCAGGAGGAUCACUUGAGCCCAGGAGGCGGAGGCUGCAGUGAGCUUUGUUCAUGCCACUGCACUCCAGCCUGGAUGACAAAGUGAGACCUUGUCUUAAACACAAAAACAAAAACAAUAAAAUUGGAUCUUUAUCUUAUGCCUUACACACACACACACACACACACACACACACCAAAAAAAAAAAAAAAAAAAAAACUCAAAAUGGAUUAAAGAUUUAAACAUAAGACCUGAAACCAUAAAAAUCCUAGAAGAAAACAUAGGGGAAAGGCUCGAUGACAUUAGUCUUGGCAAUGAUUUUUUUUUAUAGGACACUGAAAACACAGGCAUCAAAAGCAAAAAUAAAUAAGUAGGGCUACAUCAAAUUAAAAAGCUUUUGCACAGCAGAGGGAACUGUCAACAAAAUGAAAAAGUGUCCCUCAGAAUGGGAGAAAAUAUUUAUAGUCCAUGUAUCUAUCUGAUAAGGGAUUAAAUCCAAAAUAUGAGGCUCAUACAACUCAAUAACAGAAAAACAAACAACCUGAUUUUAAAAUGGGCAUAGGAGCUGAAUAGACAUUUUUCCAAGGAAGACAUAAAAAAGGCCAACAAGUAUAUGAAAAGGUGUUCAACAUCACUGAUCAUUGGGGAAAUACAAAUAAAAACCACAAUGAGAUAGCACUUCAGACACGUUAGAAUGGCUAUUAGAAGAAAGACAAAAGGUAAGUAUUGGUGAGAAUGUUUGUUAUUGGUAAGAAAAGUGAACCUUGUACACUAUUAAUGGGAAUAUGAAUUAGUAUAGCCAUUUUGAGGGUGGGCAUGGUGGCUCGCACCUGUGAUUCCAGCUACUGGGGUGGCUGAGGUGGAUGAGCCCAGGAGGUUGAGGCUGUACUGAGAGCUACGUUCAUACCACUUCACUCCAGCAUGGGCAACAGAGCAAGACCCUGUCUCCAAAAAAUAAAAAAGUAUAACCAUUUUGAAAAUCAGUAUGGAGGUUCCUCAAAAAUUUUUAAAUACAACUACCUCAGGGUGCAGUGGUUCAUGCCUGUAAUCCUAGCCCCUUGGAAGGCAGAAGGCUGAGGCUGGUGGACCACCUGAGGUUGGGAGUUCAAGACCAGCCUGGCCAACAUGGUGAAAUCCUCUAUUUACUAAAAAUACAAAAAUUCGCUGGGCAUGGUGACACAUGCCUGAUGAAAUCCUAGCUAAUCAGGAGGCUGAGGCACAAGAAUCGCUUGAUCCUGGAGGUGGAGGUUGCAGUGAACCAAGAUUGUGCCACAGCAGUCCAGCCUGGGGGAUACAGCAAUACUCUGUCUUUAAAAAAAAAAGUAACCAUGUGAUCCAGCAGUCCUGCUUCUGGGCAUAUAUCCAAAGGAAAUGAGUUGAAGAGAUUUCUGUGCUCCCAUGUUCGUUGCAGCAUUAUUCACAAUAGCUGAGAAAAAGAAACAAUCUAAGCAUUCAUUCACAGAAGAAUGGAUAAAGAAAUUGUGGUAGGGUGAGGUGCAGUGGCUCACACCUGUAAUCUCAGCAUUUUGAGAAACUGAGCAGGAUCAUUUGAGCUCAGGAAUUCAAGACAACCCUGGGCAAUAUAGCAAGACCCUGUCUCUAUAAAAAAUAAAAAAUAGCUGGGCAUGUGCAUGCCUAUAGUCCUAACUACUAGGGAAACUGAGGCAGGGGAAUGGCUUGAGGAGAAAGAGUUUGGGGCUGUAGUGUCCACUCCAGUCAGGGUGGCAGAGUGAAAUACUGUCUCAAAAAAAAAAAAAAAAAGAAAAUUAUGGCGCAUAUAUAUAUAUAUAUAAAUAUAAAUAAAUAAAAUAUGUAUGUUUGUAUAUGUAUACAAUGGAAUAUUAUUGGAAUAUAAGAUAUAUUGCAUUGCUUUGGGAGUCCGAGACGAAUGGAUCACAAGGUCUAGAGAUCAAGACCAUCCUGGUCAACAUGGUGAAAUCCUGUCUCUACUAAAAAUACAAAAAUUAGCUGGGCAUGGUGGCACAUGCCUGUAGUCCAAGCUACUCAGGAGGCUGAGGCAGGAGAAUUGCUUGAACCCAGGAGACGGAGUUUGCGGUGAGCCGAGAUAGCGCCAUUGCACUCCAGCCUGGGUAAUAAGAGUGAAACUCCAUCUCAAAAAAAAAAAAGAAAAAAGAUAUAUUGCAUUGGAACAUAUAUAUAUUUAAUGAAAUAUAUAUACACAUAUAAAUGGCAUAUCAUGUAUGUAUAUCUGUAUAUCACACAUAUAUCUGCGUAUGUCAUACACAUACUCCAUUGUAUACAUAUAUGUGUAUCCACAUAUAGAGAUACACACACAUGUGUAUACAAUGAAAUACCCAGCCUGUAAAAAGGAGUAAGUCUUGCCAUUUGUGACAACAUGAAUGAAACUGGAGGGCAUCAUUCCGAGUGAAAUAAGUCAAAGACAAAUAUUGCAUGACCUCACAUAUGUGGAAUCUAAGAAAGUCAAACUCAUAAAAACAGAGUAGAAGAUUACUUAUCAGGAGUCAGGUGUGGGGGUAGGGAGAUGGAAGGAUGUUGGUCAGAUGGAACAAACUUGCAGUCAUAAGUAAAUUGUGGAGACCUAAUACAUAGCAUGGUGACUAUAGUUAAUAAUAAUGAAUUGUGUACUAGGAAAAAAGUUUUUAAAUGGGUAUAGAGUUUUCAUUUUGCUAGAUGAAGAGUUCUGGAGAUUGGUUGCACAACAAUGUGAAUGUAUUUGACACUACUGAACUGCACACUUAAAAAAAACAAAGGCUGGGCACGGUAGCUCACACCUGUAAUCCCAGGACUUUGGGAGGCCAAGACAGGCAGAUCAUCUGAGGUCAGGAGUUCAAGACCAACAUGGGCUACGUGGUGAAACCACCUCUCUACUAAAAAUACAAAAAUUAGCCGGGUGUGGUGGCGUGUUCCUGUAAUCCCAGCUACCUGGGAGGCUGAGGCAGGAGAAUCACUGGAACCUAGGAGGCAGAGGCUGCAGUGAGUCGAGAUGGUGCCACUGCACUACAGCCUGGGUGACAGCUAGACUCCGUCUCAAAAAAAAAAAAAAUUGUUAAGAUGGUAUGUUAUGUGUAUUUUACCACAAUUUUUUAAAAAUUUAAAAAACAAAAAUUAAGGAAACUUGUACAAAAUAUAUUGAAGUCAUGAGAGGUCAUGAAAGACAAAGACAGACUAUGGAACUGCUGAAAAUUAAAGAAGACUAAUAUGAUAUGACAUGACAACUAAAUACAAUUUGUGAUUCUGGAUUGGAUGGACCCUGAAUCAAUAUGUUGCUUUGCAGUAACAUAUUGCAGCAAUUGACUUAAAUAUGAGUAAGACCUGUGAGUCAGGUAACAGUACUGUAUCAGUGUCAACUUCUCAAAUUGGGUAAUUACACUAUGGUUUUGUUAGAGAAUGUUCUUUUUCUUAGGAAAUAAAGGGUCAUCAUGUCUACAAUUUCAAGUGGCUCAGAAAAUAAUGAUAUAUUUAUACAUAAUAUAUGGAUAAAAACAAUGAUUAAAUAUUGGAAAAUGUUAAUUAUCAGGGAAUCUGGUUAAAGAGAAUAUGAGUGUUUUGUACCAUUCUUGCAACUUUUUAUAAAUCUGAAUUUAUUUCAAAACAAGAAAUUGCAAAAUGGAGUUUGAUCUUGGACAUGUGAAGUUCAAGAUAUCUAUUAGACAUCUAAAUAGAAAUGUUAAAUAGGCCGUUGUACACACAUUGUGAAGUUUGAGGCAAAGAUUAGGGCUUAAGUUAUCAAAUUUGGAGUCUACAUAUAAAUGGCAUUCAAUGCUAUGAGAGUUGGUAAGAUCACCAAGGGCAUGAGCUUAGGUGGAACAGAACCAAGCACUAGGCUUUGGAACAAUCCAAUAUUCUAACAUUAGAUAUUUCAUUAUAUUUGUUAUAUUUGCCUCAAUAAUAUUUAUGGCUUUGCUGUUAGUUGUCCAAGAUAAAGAACUUGGGAUUUAUUUGAAAGUAACUUGUGAGGACGCUGGGCAUAGUAGCCCAUGCUGGUAAUACCAGCACUUUGGAAGCCCGAGGGGGCAGAUCACCUGAUGUCAGGAGUUCGAGACCAGCCUGGCCAACAUGACGAAACCCUGUCUCUAUUAAAAUUACAAAAAUUAGCCAGGUAUAGUAGUACCACAUGCCUGUAAUCCCAGCUACUCAGGGAGUUGAGGCAGGAGAAUCGCUUGAACCUGAGAGGCGGAGGUUGCAUUGUGCCAAGAUCACGCCACCACACUCCAGCCUGGGCAAUAGAUGGAGACUCCAUCCAAAAAUAAAUAAAUAAAAGUAAAACUGAAAGCAACUUCUGAAGAGAGAAGAAACAGUGUUAACAGCUAAGGAAUGAAAUUAUUGUCUGUUUGAUUCCUAUCCCUAGCAUUUGAUGACUACAGCUUAUUUUCUUUUUCCAGAAGUUUUGGUGCUUGCUUGCCAGCAGGUUGCUCCCAGAGAUUGCCUGUGUUCUAGAAAGUGACGUCAUUUUGCAUGUUGGUGUGCAGCUGGAUAGAAAUAGGCCUGCCUAUCUCACAGCAGGGCAGAGCCUUGGAAUGCAAAUUCUUUCAUUCAGAUCACACUGAACUUCCUGAUGUGAAAUCAGCCAUCAUCUCACAAGCUGCACUCAUCAAUUUCUUGGUAGAAGCAGCUGUGCUGCCAGGGAUAGAAUCCUCUGGCCAGCCAUUAUUAGAUCUGGAAAAAAGCACCCCUGUUUUCCCUUUAGUGCUCAAGCCUUAGUGUCUGCCAGUUUGAAUGGCAGUGGAGUUUAGGGAUUUGUAUGUACUUAAUCUGAAUGAGGUAGAGAGCCUAAUGGUCAUGAUAGAAUUGACAGACCCCCUCUCCAUGGAGUGUUGGAUCAUAUAUGCAUUGCCUCUAAUCAAUCUUCCUGUUUGAAACUAAUGUCAAAGGCAAUGUAUAAUGCUGCCUCUUAACUUUAAUAGGAAACUAGAACUAGAACCCAUGCUCACUUGUGUAGAGAUUUGACGUCAGAGAACUCCAUCUGUCCUUUAAUACUUUUGCUGUACCCUGGAAAUGAUUUCUUUACUCAUCUUCCAGGAUACAUCACUCACUCCUACCAACUAAUAAUAAGCAUAUCUAAAUCUUGUAGGCCACUGUGCAAUUUUCAAAGUUAUAUAUCUAUUAUUUAAUCUGGAUAGCAGAACUAAAAAGAAGAUAGUCUUAUCCCCAUUUUGUGGAGAAGGAAUCAUAGCUCAGGAUCAUAUACCACCUAUAAGCAACUGUGAUCCUUAUAUCCAUGAUGACAAUACCUUAGUUCCACGCUGAACCCGUUGAAGAAAUGUAGCUUCAUCAAUUAUAUUAUCUAACCAAGUCUCUUUAGUGUGAUGUAGGAAAUACCUCACACAAAAGACCAUUUUACUUUAUAUAGUAUAACAUCAUGUUGUAUACCUUAAAUAUAUAUAUAAUUUUUUUUUAAGACAGGAAAAAGAGGCCUUUAAAAAGUCUACUGGAAGUAGAUGGGAAAUCUCAAUGUCAUGAACUUUGAGAAACAUAUCUUUUUGUUGUCAUUAUGGUUUUGUUCUGUUUGUUUGGAGACAACAGAAGUCACAUGGAGUGAAACAAUUGUUUCUUGUGGCGUGUAUGAUCAUUCUGGUUUUUCUAUAAAGAGUAGAGAUAGAUAGACAUGUUUCCUUUUCAUCAUUUAUAAGCAUUGUCUAGAUUAUAAGGCUGCAACUCUCACCGGUAGAUUUCAAUAAUAUAAAAACUUAACAGUAGAAAUCAGGCCCAGGGGAAAAAGCCACUCACCUUGGAGGCAGAACUACAUCAAGAAAGCUCAGGGGCAAGGAGACCACAGGCCAGGAGACAGUUUCUCCUACAGAGACAGACUAGGUUCUAUCAGCAAUUCUGGUAUCCUGCGUCACUGCCAGCAGGUACCCUGAAGGGAAUGAAAUGAACCACAAGACAAUGUGUUGGUAAGAAUAUAUAUCCUUUGCAGCCUUACUGCAGAAUGGUGAAUUUCUUUUGAGUUUGAUCCACUUUUCUCCCCUAGAGCCAAAAAUAUGUUUUCUUGAGGAAUCUCAAGAGUAGAAUAUUUGGGUGUGGAUUGGGGAGAGGAGUGGGCAGACAACAGGACAACAAUGAAAGCCGGUUUUAGAGAGGUAGAGCAAAGAUGCUGUAAACAAGCAUAGCAGUUAGAUUAUUGUGAGAUGAAAUUUGGGAGUUACCCUUCAGGCCUUUAUCAUCCUUAAGAGUCAUUUUCUUUCUGGUGUUAGCAGCAUUCUUCUGUUAAGGUAGGUCCUGUGUGUCUCUCUUCUUGAAAGUGGGAGUUCAAACUUUCUCUUGGUUCCUUCUACUCAUCAUGACUAGAGUAUACCUGUGCAGAUUUUUGUGUUUGCACCUUCUCAUUCAAUGGUAUUCAUAUUUUAAUCAUUGGAAAGCCUUAAAGAUAUAUCAAUGCAUGUAUCUUUUUUUCUUUUUUCUUUUUUUUGAGAUGGAGUUUAGCUUUUUUUUGCCCAGGCUGGAAUGCCAUGGUGUGAUCUCAGCUCACUGCAACCUCCACCUCCCGGGUUCAAGCGAUUCUCCUGCCUCAGCCUCUGGAGUAGCUGGGAUUAUAAGCAUGUGCCACCAUGCCUGGCUAAUUUUGUAUUUUUAGUAGGGACAGGGUUUCUCCAUGUUGGCCAGGUUGAUCUCAAACACCCGACCUCAGGUGAUCUGCCUAUCUCGGCCUCCCAAAGUGCUGGGAUUACAGGCGUGAGCCACCAUGCCUGGCUUGUAUCAUUUUUUUUAAAAAGCUCCCUGAAUGAGCAGUAUUUGUCAAACUUUAAUGUUUAAAUGAAUCAUCUGGGGAUCUUGUUAAAAGAUGGCUUCUGCUUUCAGUAGAUCCAGGGAAGAGGCUAAAAUUCUACAUUUUCAACAUUCAGGACACACUGAGCAGCAACUUCCAGAACAAUGGUUCUCAAACUGGUGUACAAUUAAAAAAAAAAAAAAAAAAAAAAAACGCCUAAGGAGCUUACAAAAAAAGCAAUCCCUACUCAGACCAAUUCAGUCAGAAUCUAUAGGAGAGAAACUGAGGAUCUGAACAUCAGCUGGAUGGUGAAAUCGAACUUUUUUUUUUUUUUUUUUGAGAUGGAGUUUUGCUCUUGUUGGAAAGCAAAAGUGCGAUGGCUGAAAUGCAAUGGUUUGAUCUCAGCUCACCGCAACCUCUGCCUCUUGGGUUCAAGCAAUUCUCCUGCCUCAGCCUCCCAAGUAGCUGGGAUUGGAGGCAUGCACCACCACACCCAGCUAGUUUAUAUAUAUAUAUUUUUAGCAGAGAUGGGGUUUCUCCAUGUUGGUCAGGCUGGCCUCAAACUUCCGUCCUCAGGUGAUCCACCUACUUCAGCCUCCUAAAGUGCUAGGAUUACAGGUGUGAGCAACUGCACCUGGCCAGUAAAAUCGAACUUUAUAGCACUCAUCACCUCACAGAAAUAUCAGUGUAAACAACUAUCCAUACAUGGAAAUACCAUCAGGAGAACUAGGAAAAUCAGGUAAGCAAUUAAAGCAACAGGUGUCAUAAGAAAAGAUUCAUUGAAGAGGGCAGGAAACACAGUUUUACGUUAUCCUCAUCACACUUUCCCAAACCUCAGACAGCACAGCCUGGCGAGAGAUACCCUCUGUGUAAUGGAAGGAGUACCGGACAUUGUGUCAUUCCUCAACACUGGGCCUGUCCCAGUAAAACCCAUCACUGGGUAGGCUCCCAUGGCCCCUGACUCUAGGCAUGUACCUACUGACAAGGCUUCCAAGUCCACCACAGUGCCAAGUUAGAUCCUGCAGCCCUAGGCUCCAGGCCCACUCAGUGGACCCUGCCUCCAGGCCAGCCCCUGCAGGCCUAGUCUCCAGGCCCACCCCAGAUUCUAGAACAGCCCAGAGCCAGGUCAGCCCACACAACCCCAGGCUUUAAGGCUUCCCUAGUGCCAAGGCAGCACCCUAGGCCUCAGGCACCAGGCCAUUACCUUCAGACAUGGGCUCAAGGCCAGGCUGAUCCUCAUGACCCCACCCCGUAGGUGACUCUCUGCAGCCCCACACUCUAGCAGCUCUAUGGUUCAGCCCUGUUCUUGCAGACCCAGGGUCCAGUCUCAUCCCAGUAGACCCCAGCACUGGACUGGAAACCAUGGAUCCAGGCUCUAGGAACACCCUUGUGGACACAGGUUCUAGGCUGCCUCUCAUGGCUCCAGGACCUAGGUCAGCCCUGAAAAACCUAGCCUCCAGACCAGCACCUGCACACUCAAUCUCUAGGCACAUCCCCAUGGACCCAGUAUUCAGGCCAGCCCCCAGGGCUCCAGGUACCGUGCCAGUACCCAUGGUCUCAGGUUCCAGACUAGCCCCUACAGAUCCAAGCUUCAUUCCUGCCCUAACACCAGGCUGGCCCAAGACUCUAGGCCAGUCCCCAUAGACCUAACCUCCAGUGGACCCAGGAUCCAAGCCUGCUCCAGCAGACCCAGGGUCCAGGCCUACCCCUAUAGACACCAGUGCCAAGAGAGUCUCCAUUAACUAUGUCUCCGGGUCCAAUCCUGGAGACCUAUACUCCAGACCACCUCCUGUGGACCCAGGACCUACGCUGCCCCCACAAACUCAGGGUCCAGGCACACCCCAGCACCAGGCCAGCCUCUUUGAAAUCAGGCUUCAACCCUUGGUAGCUGCAGGUUCUUCAUCCAUGGAUUUAACCAACCAUGAAUCAAAAAUGUAAUUAAGCCUAUAAUGGUUGCAUCUGUACUAAACAUGUACAGAGUUUUUUCUGUUCAUUAUUCCCUAAACAAUACAGUAUAACAGCUAUUUACAUAGUGUUUACUUUGUAUUAGGUACUACAAGUAAUCUAGAUAUUAUUUAAAGUGUGUGGGAGGAUAUGCAUAUGUUGUUAUAUGCAAAUACUAUACUGUUUUAUAUAAGGGACUUGGGCAUCUGUGGAUUUUGGUAUUCCCAAAGGGUCUUGGAAACAGUCCCCCACAGAUGCUGAGGGAUAACUAUAUUCCAAGUGCUGAAGGAGAAAACAAGAAUACCUGGAAGCUGUCCUUCAGAAAUGAAGGAGAGAUAAAGGCUUUUUCAGAUAAGAAAAAGCUAAGUUUAUCACCACCAAACUUGUCAUAUGAAAAAGGCUGAACAGAGUUCUUUAAGCUAAAAGAAGAGGAUGCUAACUAGUAACAUUAAAACAUAAAAGUAUAAAACUCACUGGUAAAAGUAAGCACACAGAAUUCAGAAUACUUGAGUAUUGUAAUGGUGGUGUGUAAGUUACUUAUAUCUUUAGCUUGAAGGUUAGGCAACACUAUUAAAAAUACUAAUAGUGCUGGGUGCAGUGGCUCACACCUAUAAUCCCAGCGCUCUGGGAGGUGGGUGGAUCACUUGAGAUCAGGAGUUAAGAUCAGCCUGGCCAACAUGGUAAAACCCUGUCUCUUCCAAAAAAAUAUAAAAAUUAGCUGUGUGGGGUGGCAUAUGCCUGUAGUCCCAGAACUAAGGUGGGUGGAUCACUUGAGGUCAGGAAUUCGAGACCAGUCUGACCAACAUGGUGAAACCCUGUCACUACCAAAAAAAUACAAAAAUUAGUUGAGUGUGGUGGCAUAUGCCUGUAGUUCCAGUGACUCAGGAGGCUGAGGUAGGAGAAUCACUUGAACCUGAGAGGCAGAGGUUGCAGGGAGCCAGUAUUGCACCUCUGCACUCCAGCCUGGGCAACAGAAGGAGACCUUUUCUUGGAAUAAUAAUAAUAAUAAUAGUUAUAAUUGUUUAAGGAAUAUGCAAUAUAAAAAGGUGUAAAAUUUGAUAUUAAAAUUGUAAAAUAUGGCUGGGUGCAGUGGCUCAUGUCUGUAAUCCCAGCACUUUGGGAGGCCAAAGCAGGCAGAUCACUUGAGGUCAGGAGUUCGAGUGGCCAAUGUGGUUAAACCCUGUAUCUACUGAAAAUACAAAAAUUAGCCGGGUGUGGUGGCAUGUGCCUGUAAUCCCAGCUACUCAGGAGGCUGUGGCAGGAGAAUCACUUGAACUUGGGAGGCAAAGACUGCGGUGAGCUGAGAUCAUGCCACUGCACUCCAGCCUGGGCAAUAAGAGUGAGAUUCUAUCUCAAAAAAAAUAAAAUAAAAUAAAAUAUGGGGGGUGGUUAGAGUAAAAGCACUGAGUUAUUUUAUGCACUCAAAAUUGUUACUGGUUUAAAAUGGCUUCAAAUGACUAUAAGAUGUUCUGUGUAAGCCUCAUGGUAACCACAAAACAAAAGCCUAGAGUAGAUUCACAUAAAAGUAAAAAGUAAGGAAUCAAAGUCUAAUACUAGAGAAAAUAAAUUACAAUGGAAGAUAGCAAAAGAAGGAAGGAUCCAUAAAAUGACCAGAAAAUAACUAAUAAAAUGGCAGUAGUACAUCCUUGCCUAUCAAUAAUUACUUUGACUGUAAAUGUAGUAAAUUCUCUAAUAAGAAGGCAUAGAAUGGUUGAAUGAAUUACAAAAAUAAGACCCAACUAUAUGUUGCCUACAAGAUAUUUCACCAUUAAGGACACACAUAGAUUGAAAGUAAAAGGAUGGAAAAAUAUAUUAUAUGCAAAUAGAAAUCAAAAGAAAGCAGGGGUAACUUUUCUUAUAUCAGAUAAAAUAGACUUUAAGUCAAAGCUGUACAGUGAGACAAGGUCAUUGUAUGAAGAAAAGGAGAUCAAUUCACCAAGAGACUAUAAAAGUUAUACAUAUAUAUGCACCAACACUGGAGCACAUAAGUAUAUUAAACAAAUAUUAAAGGACCUGAAGGGAGACAUGGAUUGUAACACAAUAAUAGUAGGAGACUUUGAUAACCAACUUUAAGCAAUGGACCUUUCAUCCAGACCAAAAAAAAAAUCAGUAAGAAAGCCUUGGGUUUAAACUACACUUAACAUCAAAAGGACCUAACAGGCAUACACAGAACAUUGCAUCCAGUAGCAACAGAAUAUACAUUGUGCUCUAGCACACAUGGAACAUUCUCCAGAAUAAAUUAUGUUAGGGCAUAAAACAAGUCUAAAUAAAUUUAAGAAGAUUGAAAUCAUAUCAAAUAUAUUUUCUGCUCACCAAAGUAUGAAACUAGAAGUUAAGAACUGGAGGAAUUUUAGAAAUUUUUUAAAUAAUGGAAAUUAAGCAACAUGAUUCUAAACAACAAAUAAAUUAAAAGGGAAAUGUAAAAAUAUCUUGAGACAAAAAUAGAAUACAAAAUACCAAAACUUGUGGAAUGCAGAAAAAGCAAUGCUAAGGUGUGAGUUUGUAGCAAAGGCCCAUGGGCUUAUGCCUGUCAUCCCAGGCUUUGGGAGGCUGAGACGGGAGGAUCACUUGAGCCUGAGUUUGAGGUUACAGUGAGCUAUUAUGCCAUUGUACUCUAGGCUGGACAACAGAUAAAGACCUCAUCUCUUAAAACAAGAAUUGGACACUGAUUUAUUGAUUUGGGUAAUUAUUAUUACAGUCCAGCUGGGCACAGUGGCUCACACGUUUAAUCCCAGAAGCUUGGUAAGGUGAGGUGGGUGGAUCAACUGAGGUCAGGAGUUUGAGACUAACUUGGCCAACAUGGUGAAAUUCUAUCUCUACUAAAAAUACAAAAAUCAGCUGGGCAUGGUAGCAUGCACCUGCAGUCCCAGCUAAUUGGGAGAUUGAGGCAGGAGAAUCGCUUGAACCCAAGAGGCAGAGGUUGCAGUGAGCUGACACCAUGCCACUGCACUCCAGCCUGGGCAACAGAGUGAGACUCCAUCUCAAAACCUAAAAGUAAAAAAUAAAAUUCCAGUCCCCUGCACAAAAAGAAUUUACAACCUUCUCAUCAAGUAAAUAAUUGGACAUAUUUAGGAAUGCCCAACCAAUAUUGGUUAUUUUUGCUGUAGAGACAAUUCUCAAAUCUAAAACUCCAAGUCAGAUGAAAACAAAACAAAAACUCAGAACAAUCUCCACUGGAAAUUUGAUUAAAGAACAAAUUUUAUUUCUGCCUUGAGACUCAUUAGUGGAGAAUAUUUAUAAUCUCUAUUUCUAAAGCCAACUUUAUUAUUUUUAAAGCCAAAAUAUUCCUAGUGUUUUUUUAAUAGAAAACACCUUAUCUUCAAAUAACUUAUAGUUUAAAGAGUUUCUGUUUCUCUCAUACUUUAUCUUGUGGGAGCUAUCAGCAUUCAGGGUUUGGAUUUUUUCUGACACAUGGUUUUCUUCUGGAAAUCUAGUAAUUAGAAAAAGAAUGCAGGGCUACAACACUGCAUUGCUUUAGAACUUUUAUUAUUGAGCCAUCUCCAAAGAAUGUUGGACCAAGAUUCAAGUUUAGCAGAGCUAAUACAUAAAUGGAGGUGAAUAAACAGGAGAAUGGAGAACACAUCAGUGCCCUGUUUGAAAAUAUCAGAUAAUCCUUCACCUGGUAGGCCUGAUGAUUUUUAAUGGAGAAGAGACUGUGAAUUUUUUGUGACAAGAAUUGUCUGGUUUAAUGUUCAAGAAUUAUCAGCAGUGAAGACAGAUCAAAAGGUCCAUAUUUGUCCUCCCUAUAAAUGCCUUGUCCUGGGAGGGUGUUAAUCAGCCCAAUUUGGCAAUGAAUUUAUGGGUUUUUAUAAUGAAUAUCCGUAUUUCAAACCAAGCAGGUGCUCUGGAGCAGUGCUGUCUGAGUGCACAGAAUGCAGCAGCAGCAGCAAAGACCUAUCCCAGGCACUCAGGGCUCAUUUGUAUGGAUGCACUGAUGCUGUGGGAGCUGCAUACAUCAAAGUCACUGCAGUCGCCAUCACAGAGCCUCACUAUAAAAAAAGGAUUGUUCUGCAGCUUUCCUUUCCCAUCAGAGUUCCACUGCAUAAUCUAAUGCCCUUUAACUGGAGAGGGUCUGGGAGAAAGGGAGCUGAAUGUACAAAGCAAAGAACAAUUUAAGUAGUUCUCAAAAAUAAUUGGCAGGUUGGGGUAAAAUAAAGUUCUACAAUGGUAAAAAAUACAGCAUCUUAGCUCUGGCAGAGCCCUUUACAGGUCAUACAGUCCAUCUUCCCUUGCUUGUUUUCAAAACUUAAACCAUUCCAACUAGAUAAGAACUAAUUUAAAAUUUUAAGACUUCCAGAAAGAAAAUUACAGAGCUCUCUUUGAAAUCUGUUCUGAUAUAUAGUAUCUCUUUCACUAUAAGUUUAUUCUUAACCAAAAUCCAACAUUUCAGUUGAAAUUCAUUUUUGCUUAUGUUCAUUCUUUUGUAGGGAUAUGUAAUGACUAGUUAGUAUCCCUUAUGCUAAAGUCAUUGAAGAUCAGCCAUAGUUAAAUUACCACUUCAACUGUCUUUUCAGUGGCUAACAUCUGUCAAUUUCCUUAAACAGUUUUUCUAUGGCCAGUUUUUUUAGUCUCUUACCUUCUCCUGCAUCCAUGUCAGUCUUUGGUUGUAAAGCUUAAACUGGACCCAGUGCUGUAGAAAUAUCUGAUGAGUACUUAGUAGAGGGAAAAACUCAUCUCGUGUUUCCCAAAUACUUGUAGUUUUUGCUUUGCACACUAUAUGAGACUAAAAAUUACCAAGCAAGCUGACUCCAUAUCAUCUUAAUCAGUGAGAAAAUUUAUAAUACAUAAAUGUGUGUCAAAACAUUUAAAACUAUUUCUAUUGGUUAUAAAUGUAUAGAAAAAUGAAAAAACAUAGUAAAGCUAAUAUUGGUAAACUAUGAUUUAAAACAUUAUAAAUACUGAGAAUUGAAGUUUUAUUUAUAGGCAUACCUCAGAGAGAUUGCAGGUUUGAUUCCAGACCAAAAUAAUGCAAAUACCACAAAGAAGCAAAGUCAGACAAAUAUUUUGGUUUCCCAUUGCAUAUAAAACUUAUGUUUCUGCCGAGACCAUGUCCACCCCAUGAGCACAGAGCAUUGCUCUUGCCCUUGCCCUUGCUACUCAGCUCCCUAUGCACCCCUGCAGCCAGCUCACCAUAGAUGAUGGUAUUGCCGCACUCAUUGUCAACAACGGUUCCAUCAUGUGCAAGGCCAGCUUUGCAGGUGAUGAUGCCCCCCAGGCCAUCUUUUCCUCUACUGUGGGGCACCCCAGGCACCAGGACAUGAUGGUGGGCAUGGGUCAGAAGGACUCCUAGCUGGGCUACAAGGCCCAGAGCAAGAGAGGCAUCCUGACCCUGAAGUACCUCAUAGAGCACAGCUCGUCACCAACUGGGACGACAUGGAAAAGAUCUGGCACUACACUUUCUACAACAAGCUGCAUGUGGCUCCUGAGGAUCACCUUGCGCCACUGACCGAGGCCCCCCAAACUCCAAGGCCAACCACAGGAAGAUGACCCAGAUCAUGUUUGCGACCUUCAACACCUCAGCUGUGUACGUGGCCAUCCAGGCUGUGCUGUCCCUGCACACCUCUAGCGCCGUAACACUGGCAUCCUGAUGGACUCUGGUGACGGGGUCACCCACACUGUGCCCAUCUAUGAGGGGUAUGCCCUCCCUCACACCAUACUGCAUCUGAACCUGGCUCGCCAGGACCUGACUGAGUACCUCAUGAAGAUCCUCACUGAGUGCGACUACAACAUCACCACCACGGCCAAAAUGGAAAUCAUGCAUGACAUCAAGGAGAAGCUGUGCUGCAUUCCCCUGGACUUCAAGUAGGAGAUGGCCAUGGAGGCCUCCAGCUCCACCCUGGAUAAGAGCCAGGACCUGCCCGAUGGCCAGGUCAUCACCAUCAGCAACAAGCAGUUCUGCUGCCCUGAGGCACUCUUCCAGCCUUCCUUCCUGGGCAUGAAAUCCUCUGGCAUCCAUGAAACUAUCUCCAACUCCAUCAUGAAGUGUAAUGUGAACAUCCGCAAAGACCUGUACGCCCACACAGUGCUGUUUGGAGGCACCACCAUGUACCCUGGCAUUGCCGACAGGAUGCAGAAAGAGAUCACUGCCCUGGCGCCCAGCAUGAUGAAGAUCAAGAUCAUUGCUCCUGCCAAACACAAGUACUCCAUGUAGAUUGGCAGCUCCAUCCUGGCCUCGCUGUCCACCAUCCAGCAGAUGUGGAUCAGCAAGCAGGAGUACCAGGAGUCCAGACCCUCCAUCAUCCACCACAAAUGCUUCUAGGCCAACUGUGACUUAGUUGCAUUACACCCCUUCUUGACAAAACCUAAUUUGCACAGAAAUCAAGAUGAGAUUGGCAUGGCUUUAUUUGUUUUGUUUUGUUUUGGUUUGGUUUUGGUUUUGGUUUUUGGCUUGACUCAGGAUUUAAAAACUGGAACAGUGAAGGUGACAGCAGUCAGUUGGAGUGCGCAUCCCCCAAAGCUCUACCUACAAUGUGGCCGAGGACUUUGCUUGUAUGUUGUUCUUUUUUUUAAUACUUAUUCCAAAUAUUUUGAGGUGCAUUGUUACAGGAAGUCCCUUGCUCUCCUAAAGCCACCCCACUUCUCUCUAAGGAAAAUGGCCCAGUCCUCUCCCGAGUCCACACAGGGGAGGUGAUAGCAUUGCUUCGUGUAAAUUAUGUAAUGCAAAAUUUUAAAACUUUGCCUUACUGGUUUUUUAUACUGUUUUAUUUUGAAUGAUCGGCCUUCAUGGCCCCUCCCUUUUGUCCCCCAGCUUGAGAUGUGUGAAGGCUUUUGCUUUCCCUGGGAGUGGGUAACGGCGUACUUGUACACUGACCUGAGACCAAUUGAAUAAAAGUAAAUACCUUAAAAAAAAAACUUAUGUUUCUACUAUAUUGUAGUCUAUUCAGAGUGUAGUAGCAUUGUGUUCAACAAAACAGUGCACAUACCUUAAAAAACACUUUGGGCCAGGCGUGGUGGCUCACUGCACACUUUGGGAGGCCGAGGAGGGCAGAUCACAAGGUCAAGAGAUUGAGGCCAUCCUGGCCAACGUGAAGCCCUGGCUCUACUAAAAAUAUAAAAAUUAGUUGGGUGUAGUGGCAUGCGCCUAUAAUCCCAGUUACUUUUGAGACUAGGGCAGGAGAAUCGCUUGAACCUGUGAGGCGUAGGUUGCAGUGAGCCGAGAUCAUGCCACUGCACUCCAGCCUGGUGACAGAGUGUGAGACUCCAUCUCAAAGAAAAAAAAAAAAAAAAAAAAAACCCAACACUUUGUUGCUUAAAAAAAAAUGCUAAUGACAUCUGAGCUUUCAGUGAGUGGUUAUCUUUUUGCUAUAAAAGGGUCUUGCCUCAAUGCUGGGGACCUUGCUCUGCAUUAGGUUUGGCUUUAUGGAAUAUUGUGGCUGAUUUGAUCUUCUGUCUCAGGGAUCCCCAACCCCCAGGCCACAGACCAGUCCACACAGCAGGAGGUAAGUGGUGGGCAAGCAAGAGAAACUUCAUCUGUAUUUACGGUCGCUCCCCAUCACUUGCAUUACCAUCUGAGUUCUGCCUCCCAUCAGAUCAAUGGCAGCAUUAGAUUCUCAUAGGAGCGUGAAAUCAAAUGUGAACUGUGCACCUGAGGGAUCUAGGUUGUAUGCUCUUGAUGAGAAUCUAAUGCCUAAUGACCUAUCAGUCUCCCAUCACCCCCAGAUGGAACUAAUUGCAGGAAAACAAGCUCAGGACUCCCACUGAUUCUACAUUAUGAUGAAUUUAUUUUUCCUUUUUUGUUUUUAUGGUGAACUUAUAAUUAUUCCAUUAUAUAUUACAAUGUAAUAAUAGGCAGAGCUGGUGGCUCACACCUGGAAUUCCAGCACGUUGGGAGGCCAAGGCAGGUGGGAUCAGUUGAGGUCAGGAGUUCCAGACUAGCCUGCCCAACAUGGCGAAACCCCAUCUCUACUAAAAAUACAAAAAUUAACUAGGAAUGGUGGUGCAUGCCUGUAGUCCCAGCUAUUUGGGAGGCUGAGGCAGGAGAAUUGCUUGACCUUUGCAGGCUGAGAUUGCAGUGAGCCGAGAUCCCACAACAGCCCUCCAACUUGGGCAACAGAGCAAGACUCUGUCUCAAAAAAAAAAGUGAUAAUAGAAAUAAAGUACACAAUAACUGUAAUGCACUUGAUCAUUCCCCUGCAAGCUGGUCUGUGGAAAAAUUAUCUUCCACAAAACUAGUUCCUGGUGCCAAAAAUGGUUGAGGAUCACUGUUCUAUCUAGAUCAUUAAAACUUUCUCCAGAGCAGCAAGAAGGCUCUUUGACUUUAUUGUUCAUGUGUUCUCUGGAGUAGCACUUUGACUAUCCAUCAAGAACUUUUUCUUUUUCUUUUUUUUUUUUAAAUUCAUUUAUUUAACUUUAUGUGCAUACUAUAUCUGGCAUUUCUCCCCAUAUUAUCCCUCCCCACCCCCCACCGUCUCUCCCCUACCCCCACCAACUGCCCCCAGUGUGUGAUGCUCCUCUUCCUGAGUCCACGUGUUCUCAUUGUUCAACACCCACCAAUGAGUGAGAACAUGCGGUGUUUGGCUUUCUGUUCUUGUGUCACUUUGCUGAGAAUGAUGGUUUCUGGAUUCAUUCGAGUCCCUACAAAGGACACGAACUUACCAUUUUUUAUGGCUGCAUAGUAUUCCAUGGUGUAUAUGUACCACAUUUUCUUUGUCCAGUCUAUCAUUGAUGGACAUUUGGGUUGGUUCCAGGUCUUUGCUAUUGUACACAGGGCUGCAAUGAACAUACAUGUGCAUGUGUCUUCAUAGUAGAACGAUUUAUAGUUCCGUGGGCAUAUGCCCAGUAAUGGGAUUGCUGGGUCAAAUGGAAUUUCUAUUUCUAGAUCCUUGAGAAAUCUCCACACUGUCUUCCACAGUGGUUGAACUAAUUUACACUCCCACCAACUGUGUAAGAGUGUUCCUAUUUCUCUGCAUCCUCUUCGGCAUCUGUUGUCUCCAGAUUUCUUAAUGAUCACCAUUUUAACUGGCAUGAGAUGAUAUCUCAAUGUGGUUUUGAUUUUCAUUUCUGUAAUGACCAGUGAUGAUGAGCAUUUUUUCAUAUGUUUGUUGGCCUCAUAUAUGUCAUCUUUUGAAACGCAUCUUUUCAUAUCCUUUGCCCAAUUUUGAAUGGGGUUGCUUUUUUCUUGUAAAUCUGUUUUAGUUCUUUGUAGAUUCUGGUUAUUAGCCCUUUGUCAGAUGGAUAGAUUGCAAAAAUUUUUUCCAUUCUGUUGGUUGCCAAUUUGCUCUAAUGAUGGUUUCUUUUGCUGUACAGAAGCUCUGAAUUUUAAUUAGAUCCCACUUGUCUAUCUUGGCUUUUAUUGCCAUUGCUUUUGGUGUUUUAGCCAUGAAGUCCUUGCCUAUGCCUAUGUCCUGGAUGGUUUUGCCAUUUUCUUUUAGUGUUUUUAUGGUGUUAGGUUUUAUGUCUAAAUAUUUAAUCCAUCUGGAGUUAAUUUUAGUGUGAGGUGACAGGUAGGGGUCCAGUUUCUGCUUUCUGAACAUUGCUAGCCAGUUUCCCCAACACCAUUGAUUAAACAUGGAGUCCUUUCCCCAUUGCUUGUUUUUGCCUGGUUUGUCAGAGAUCAGAUGGUUGUUGAUGUGUGGUGUUUCUUCUGGGGCCUCUGUUCUGUUCCAUUGUUCUAUGUCUCUGUUUUGGUACCAGUACCAUGCUGUUUUGAUUACUGUAGCCUUGUAAUAUAGUUUGAAGUCCGGCAGUGUGAUGCCUCCAACUUUGUUCUUUUUGCUUAGGAUUGUCUUGGCUAUGUGGGCUCUCUUGUGUUUCCAUAUGAAGUUUAAAGUGUUUUUUUUCCAGUUCUAUGAAGAAGGUCAUUUGUAGCUUGAUGGGGCUAGCAUUGAAUCUACAGAUUACUUUGAGCUGUAUGGCCAUUUUCACGAUAUUAAUUCUUCCUAACCAUGAGCAUGGAAUGUUUUUCCAUCUGUUUGUGUUCUCUCUUACUUCAUUGAGCAGUGGUUUGUAGUUCUCCUUGAAGAGGUCCUUUAUAUCCUUUGUUAGUUGUAUUCCUAGGUAUUUUAUCCUCUUUGUAGCAAUUGUGAAUGAUAGUUCACUCUUAAUUUGGCUGUUUGUCUGUUAUUGGUAUAUAGGAGUGCUUGUGAUUUCUGCAUAUUGAUUUUGUAUCCUGAGACUUUGCUGAAGUUGCUUAUCAGUUUGAGAAGAUUUUGGGCUGAGACAAUGGGGUCUUGUAGAUAUACAAUCAUGUCAUCUACCAAUAGAGACAAUUUGACUUCCUCCUUUCCUAAUUAAAUAAGCUUUAUUUCUUUUUCUUGCCUGAUUGCUCUAGCUAGAACUUCCAAUACUAUGUUGAAUAGGAGCAGUGAGAGAGGGCAUCCUUGUCUGGUGCCUGAUUUCAAAGGGAAUUCUUCCAGCUUUUGCCCAUUCAGUAUGAUAUUGGCUGUAGGUUUUUCAUAUAUAGCUUUUAUCAUUUUAUGACAUAUUCUGUCAAUACCUAGUUUAUUGAGAAUUUUUAGCAUGAAGAGCUGUUGAAUUUUGUCAAAGGCCUUCUCUGCAUCUAUUGGUAUAAUCAUGUGGUUUUUGUCUUUGGUUCAGUUUAUGUGAUGGAUUACAUUUAUGGAUUUGUGUAUGUUGUACCAGCCUUGCAUCUCAGGGGUGAAGCCUACUUCAUCAUGAUGGAUAAGCUUCUUGAUGUGUUGUUGCAAUCUGUUUGCCAGUAUUUUUUUGAUCUUUCUUUGUUUCUCAUGUGGGCAUUUAUUGCUAUAAAUUUCCCUCUUGACAUUGCUUUAAAGGUGUCCCAGAGAUUCUGGUAAGUUGUGUCUUCAUUCUGAUUGGUUUCGAAGAACAUCUUUAUUUCUGCCUUCAUUUCAUUGUUUAUCCAGUUGACACUCAGAAGCAAGUUGUUCAGUUUCCAAGUGGUUUUUGCGGGUUUGAGUGUGUUUCUUAAUCCUGAGUUCUAGUCUGAUUGUGCUGUGGUCUGAUAGACUAUUUGUUAUGAUUUCCGUUCUUUUGCAUUUGCUGCAGAGUGAUUUGCUUCCAAUGAUGUUGUCAAUUUUCGAGUAAGUGCAGUGUGGUGCUGAGAAAAAUAGAUAUUCUGUGGAUUUGGGGUGGAGCAUUCUGUAUAUGUCUAUUAGAUCCGCUUGGUCCAGCUCUGCAUUCAAGUCCUGGAUAUCCUUGUUAAUUUUCUGUCUCGUUGAUCUGUCUAAUAUUGACAGUGGAGUAUUGAAGUCUCCCACUAUUAUUGUGUGGGAGUCUAAAUUUCGUUUUAGGUCGUUAAGAACUUGCUUUAUGUAUCUGGGUGCUCCUGUGUUGGAGGCAUAUAUAUUUAGGAUAGUUAGCUCUCCUUGUUGGAUUGAUCCUUUUACUAUUAUGUAGUGUCCUUCUUUGUCUCUUUUGAUCUUUGUUGGUUUGAAGUCUAUUUUAUCAGAGACUAGGAUUGCAACCCCUGCUUUUUUUAGUUCUCCAUUUGCUUGGUAAAUCUUGUUCCAUCCGUUUAUUUUGAGUCUAUGUGUUUCUUUGCAUGUGAGAUGGGUUUCCUGAAUACAGCACACCGAUAGGUUUUGACUUUUUAUCCAGUUUGCCAGUCUGUGUCUUUUGAUUGGGGCGUUCAGGUCCAUUUACAUUCAAUGUUACUAUUGUUAUGUGUGAAUUUGAUCCUUCCAUUUUGUUAAUGGCUGGUUUUCUUUCCCAUUAGUUGAUUCAUUUUCUUCAUUGCAUUUUUGGUCUUUGCCCAUUGGUUUGUUUUUGCAGCGACUGGUACUUGUUCCUUUCCGUGCUUAGCAUUUAUUUCAGGAGCUCUUGUAGGGCAGGUCUGGUGGUGACACAAUUUCUUAGUAAUUGUUAUUCAUAAAGGAUUUUAUUUCUCCUUCACUUACAAAGCUUAGUUUGGCUGGAUUUGAGAUUCUGGGUUGAAAGUUCUUUUCUUUAAGGAUAUUUGGCCCCCACUCUCUUCUAUCUUGUGGGGUUUCUGCCGAGAGAUCCUCUGUAAGUCUGAUUGGCUUCCCUCUGUGGGUGACCUAUCCUUUCUCUCUGGCUGCCCUUAGCAUUUUUUCCUUCAUUUCAACUCUGGUGAAUCUGACCAUUAUGUGCCUUGGGAUUGUUCUUGAGGAAUAUCUUUGUGGAGUUCUCUGUAUGUUUUGAAUUUGAAAUUUGGACUGCCUUGCUAGGCUUGGGAAUUUCUCCUGAAUAAUAUCCUGGAGUGUGUUUUCCAGCUUGGAUUCAUUCUGCCCAUCAUAUUCAGGUACACCGAUCAAGCAUAGGUUAGGUCUUUUCACAUAAUCCCAUAUUUCUUGGAGGAUUUGUUCAUUUAUUUUCACUCUUUUUUCUCUUGUCUUGCCUUCUCUUUUUAUUUCAUUGAGUUGAUCUUCAAUCUCUGAUAUCCAUUCUUCUGCUUGAUUGAGUUGGCUAUCAAAACUUGUAUUUUUUUUGUGUAGUUCUCGUGCUGUGUUUUUCAACUCCAUCAAGUCAUUUAUGUUCUUCUCUAAGCUGGUUAUUCUAGUUAGCAUUUCGUCUAACCUUUUUUCAGCGUUUUUGGUUUCUUUGCAUUGAGUUAUAAUGUGUUCCUUUAGCUCAGAAAAGUUUGUUAUAACCCACCUUCUGAAGCCUGUUUCUGUCAAUUCGUUGCACUCCUUCUCAGUCAUGAUGUGUUCCUGUGUUGUUGAGGAGUUGUGAUGCUUUGAAGGAGAAGAGGUGUUCUGGUCUUUGAUGGUUUCAUCUUUUUUGCACUGUUUUUUUCCCCAUCUCUGUGGGUUUACCUGGCUGUGGUGUCAGGGAGCUGCUUGAUGAGGUUGCUUGUCUGCCUGUGGAGGUGUUACUGGGUUUCUAGGGACUCCUUCAGGUUACUAGGGAAGCUUCCUGUAUCUUUUUUGUUUAUACUGGGAGAUUAGGCCCGCCUCUUCCACUGACCUGUAGGCGCUGCUGGGUUGUCAAGAAUGCUGUCCCUUCCCCUUGCUAGGUAGGCUUCCUGUGUUUUUUGUUAAAACAUGUAGCCCAGUCCCACCCCUCUAAUGGUGGGUUGUGCCCUUCCUCCACUGGGCUGGAUCAUUCAGGGUUCAGCUCAGACUAUGGCACUGGCUGUGCAACCCGCUAGAGUCAGAGCUUCAGCCCUCUGGAAUUUGUAGGGGAGGGUAGGGACCCGCCCAGCAGCACCUGGCCAUCUCCCCCUUUCACCAUCCUCUCUCUCCGGUCAUGGAGUAGGGGCCUACCCAGCUGCUCCUGCUUACAGCUCCCUCUCUCUCUGGGCAAGGGGAGGGGGCAAUAGCUCAGUCCACAGGUUCUCCCGGCCACCUUUUGGGCUUAUGCAUCUUUUUAGGUCUGUGCACCAGUCUGGGACACCAUCCUGGAUUAUUAUUCAACUCCAUGCUUGUAUUUCCCCAUGCUUGACUGGCAAAGAUCCCCUGUUCUGUGUAUUGGUAAGGUUUUGGGGGAAGCACUGUAUCUGGACCAGAGUGUCAGAGUGGGGGCCUCUGACUCGCCGGCCAGAUGCACUUCUUGGGUGAGGCAGCAUCCCUCCCUGCCUCAAUCUCCCCUGAGUGGGCUUUGCUCACCGUCAGACCAGACCUAUUGAAAUGCACUUGGUACCUCGAUUGGAGCUAGGAGAUCUCUGGAUUUCUGCAUCUCUCUCACUGGGUGUUGUGUGCUGGAGUUGUAUCUGUUCAGCCACCUUAGAUCGACUCUCCCAACUAAUCCAUCAAGAACUUUUUCUUUGCAUUCACAGCGUGGCUAACUGCCACAAGAUGCCUAGCUUUUGGCCUUUCAACAUGUUUUUCUCAUUAAGCUUAAUCGAUUCUGGGUUUUGAUUUAAAGUUAAGAGACAUGUGACUCUUCCUUUCAUUUGAACACUUAGAGGCCUUUGUAGGAUUAUUAAAUGGCCUGAUUUCCAUAUUGUGGUGUCUGAGGGAAUAGGAAUGCCUGAGGAGAAGGAGGGAGAUGGAGGAAUACCCCACCAGUGGAGUGGUCAGGACAUACACGUUUAUUGGUUAUGUUCACUGUAUUCUAUGUGUGUGGUUCAUGCCACCCCAAAACAAUUGCAAUAGUAACAUCAAAGAUCACUGAUCACAAAUUAAUAUAACAGAUAUAAUAAUAAUGAAAAAGUUUGAAAUAUUGUGAGAAUUAACAAAAUCCAACAGAGAGUAAAAAUGAGCACAUGCUGUUGGGAAAAUGGUGCUAAAAGACUUGCUCAAUGCAGGGUUGCCACAAACCUUCAAUUUGUUAAAAUAAGACACCCCCAAGGCCAGGUGUCAUGGCUCACACCCAUAAUCCUAGCACUUUGUGAGGCUGAGGCGGGUCAUGAGGUCAGGAGAUCUAGACCAUCCUGGCCAACAUGGUGAAACCCUGUCUCUGCUAAAAAUAAAAAAGUUAGCUGGGUGUGGUGGUGAAGGCCUGUAAUCCCAGCUACUAGGGAGGCUGAGGCAGGAGAAUCACUUGAACCUGGGAGACAGAGAUUGCAGUAGUGAACCGAGAUGACACCACCACACUCCAGCCUGGCAAGAGAGUGAGACUCUCAAAAAAAACAAAA